rnacentral:tRNA from 1 species
GAGGUUGUGGCUCAGUGGUAGAGCGCUUGCCUAACACAUGCAAGGCCCUGGGUUCAAUUCUCAGCACUACA